AUUGAACGCUGGCGGCAGGCUUAACACAUGCAAGUCGAACGAGUGGCGGACGGGUGAGUAAUGUCUGGGAAACUGCCUGAUGGAGGGGGAUAACUACUGGAACCGGUAGCUAAUACCGCAUACCAUCGGUUCUGCCCUGAGGGGAUUAGCUAGUCGGUGGGGUAAAGGCUCACCUAGGCGACGAUGCCUAGCUGGUCUGAGAGGAUGACCAGCCACACUGGAACUGAGACACGGUCCAGACUCCUACGGGAGGCAGCAGUGGGGAAUAUUGCACAAUGGACGAAAGACUGACACAGCAAUGCCGCGUGUAUGAAGAAGGCCUUCGGGUUGUAAAAUACUUUCAGCAGGGAAGCGGUACCUAAAGAAGAAGCACCGGCUAACUCCGUGCCAGCAGCCGCGGUAAUAC
rnacentral:rRNA from 1 species